rnacentral:rRNA from 1 species
UAGGGAAUCUUCCACAAUGGACGCAAGUCUGAUGGAGCAACGCCGCGUGAGUGAAGAAGGUUUUCGGACCGUAAAGCUCUGUUGUUGGUGAAGAAGGAUAGAGGUAGUAACUGGCCUUUAUUUGACGGUAAUCAACCAGAAAGUCACGGCUAACUACGUGCCAGCAGCCGCGGUAAUACGUAGGUGGCAAGCGUUGUCCGGAUUUAUUGGGCGUAAAGCGAGCGCAGGCGGAAGAAUAAGUCUGAUGUGAAAGCCCUCGGCUUAACCGAGGAAUUGCAUCGGAAACUGUUUUCUUGAGUGCAGAAGAGGAGAGUAGAACUCCAUGUGUAGCGGUGGAAUGCGUAGAUAUAUGGAAGAAUACCAGUGGCGAAGGCGGCUCUCUGGUCUGCAAACUGACGCUGAGGCUCGAAAAGCAUGGGUAGCGAACAGGAUUAGAUACCCUGGUAGUCCAUGCCGUAAAACGAUGAGUGCUAAGUGUUGGGAGGCUUCCGCCUCUCAGUGCUGCAGCUAACGCAUUAAGCACUCCGCCUGGGGAGUACGACCGCAAGGUUGAAAC